UACGUAGGUGACAAGCGUUGUCCGGAUUUACUGGGCGUAAAGAGCGCGCAGGCGGUCGAUCAAGUCAAGUGUGAAAGCCCCCGGCUCAACUGGGGAGGGUCAUUCGAUACUGAUCGACUCGAAGGCAGGAGAGGGUAGUGGAAUUCCCGGUGUAGUGGUGAAAUGCGUAGAUAUCGGGAGGAACACCAGUGGCGAAGGCGACUACCUGGCCUGUUCUUGACGCUGAGGCGCGAAAGCUAGGGGAGCAAACGGG
rnacentral:rRNA from 1 species